GGAGCCGCUCGGUUUAGAGCUGGGGCUGGCGGCGGAGGGAUACUCCGGCCCGGAGCCGCCUCACCCCUCCUCAAACUUCCUGACAUUUGAACUCAUUGGUGCGCCUCGUAUCACUGCGCCGGGAUGAGCCGGCUGCUCCACGUCAAAUAGUGCCGUCGCCUCCCCCCCUCCCUGCGGGAGGGCUCCCUGAGCCCCCGGCCUGCACCCCGUGCCGCGCCUUGUACCCAGCCGGCCAUCCUGCCCACCCUUGGCAGAAGUUUGCUCCAGCGCUCAGAGGAGUGGCCCCGAGUGAGGCCAGACUGUGAGGACGGCGGGGAACGCAGCGACUUCUCCAGGGGACGGCGCCAGGCGAGAGCGGCUGCCUCAAACCUGGACUUGUAGGCUAAGGGGCCUGGCUAGGGUUAGAGACUGAGCGCUGGCCAGCCUGGGCAAAGUGGGCCUCGACAGCAAGCAACGCAAGGCUAGCGGCAUGCAGUGCAGCUGGCGACUCUGGGUGCAUCCCGCCAGACACCCGCGAGAGAACUAGAAGACGUCGUGUCGGGACACAGGGUACCUUCCGCCCCGCCACGCCCGCGCGAAUGGCAGGAGGAGUGGUGCGGUCGCGGGGCAGGAGCUAGCUGCCCCCGGGAGCCGCUGCUGGGCGGCUCUGGCCCCUCCGGUCGAGGCGCAGCGACGCGGAGCCGGGCCGGGAUGGAGGGCUCGGAGGGCGGGUCCCCUGACCCCGUGGAGGCGAGAGGGCGGAUCGGAUUUGGAACCUGCGGGAGGCUUGGUCAGAAGUGGCCUCCUGUGCUCGGGUGAGGGGGGCCCGGAGGGGCCCGGCUUUGUGGAGGAUUAGCGGUCACCGCCCCACCCCAGUACCUGUGUGUGUGUCGGUGGGGAUCCGAGUGUGUCUGUGCGUGUCGGCGCUCCCGGCUCGGAGGCUAUUGAGUACGUGUGCACCCGUGUUCCCGUGCUCAUACAUUUUGUGUUCGUGUGUCCUUGCGACUUUCCUGGCAAUGUGUGUGUGUGUGUGUGUUCGAUACACGCCUCUCGUGCUUCUGUGUCAUGUUUUUUUGCACGUCUUUGUGUGUGUCCUCGUGUCUGUGUCACAGCGAAGAUGUCUACGCCUUUGUAUGCGCCCGGGCCCCUGUAGCGUGCCUGGUAGAUUUUUCUCUAUAAGUGUGUCUCCGAGUUACCUUUGUGUUUCUGUUUGCGCCCCCCACCUCCCCGAGCUCCUGAAUUGUUCUGUGUCGCUGAGGGGUUUUUGUGUUUGUGGCUUUGUGUUCUGUGUAUUUCUCGGCGCCUUUGUGUGUCUGUAUCGGGAGCAUGCGAAUGUGCAUGUAGAGUUCUCUUCGCCCACCCUUCGUCCGCUUGUCUUUACCCAGUGUGAGAAAUCUAAGGCCUUGAGCCUGAGGUUGGGCAGAGGCUUGGGCCUGGACCGCCUUCUCUGGGUAUCUGGGCCCCAGCGCGUCGCUGCGGGAAGAAGGCGAGAGGGUAAGGCUGGGCGUGCAGAGUCGGGAGGCGCCGAACCGCGCGCAGAGGCAGCGGGCCGACCGGGUGCACUCUGCCCUCUGCUGGCCACAGUGUGUCCCUGCAACCACUGCUGGGUACCGAAAGCCCUGGUUCCAGGCCCGGACCUUCACCAUCUCCUUCAGGCUGAAUGUGUCUUCUCUGUCUCAAGCCCUAAAGACUCACCUCGGACUCUAAGCAAUCCACGCAGGGUUCCACGCCCAUCUCCACCCUCCCAUCUCUCCCACGCUUCCUGUGCCUGUCCAUUUCUACCCCAUCCCUCUCCGUUUCUCUUUGACUGAAUGGUGGCCCCUGUGGCCCGGCCUCAGAGGCUUCCCUGAUCCUCUGGCUGGCGUCCAAGACCGGGUCUGGACCUUUGGCUGUGUUUGCUGUGCGUUCUGCAGUGCUUGAAGCUGGGUCUCAGCGCCGAGGGCACACCUGUAGCCACCCCAACCCCCCUUUGAUGCAUGGCUGGUAUGUUUUCCAAGGUUUCCAGAAUUUUGGGGGUCUCUCCCCGCGCAGUCCUGUGACCCGGCCCACUCGGGUCAGGCUGCCCGAACUGUCGGCAACUGAGUUCAGUGCUCCCUGGGUGAACAGUGAAACCAGGAUUGUCUUUAGUCCGAUUGAGGAAGAUGCUCCCGUUCACAACCUUGAUCCCUUGCACGCCUGUUUCCGUCUGUCCAUCCUCCUCGACCUGUAGACCUUCUUUGUCCGUACUUUCGCAACCCGAGUUGACUAGACCCGGUGUUCACAUUGUCCGCAUAGUCAUCCAUGUGUCUCCGAAGCAUCCUUAGGGUUCUUGGUCUCCCAUCCUUUGCCUCCGAGGAAGAAGAAUACGACUGGACAGGAGAAAACCGGUUUAGGCCUGGAACCCACUUCUCUCCACGGGCCUCAAGCUCCUGGCUCCGCCUGUCUCUCCAGUACAAGCCGAUGGUCCCCCCUCACCCCCGCUCUGAGACUCACAACACAGAUGGCCGAUCGCUCCCGCGCGCGCCGUCCAAUGCGGGAUGCUUGUGGCCUCCGACGUCUGCUGCAGAAUCCGCUCGAGAUGGUUUCACCUGAGCAAAGACGGACGAGGAGGACGGCUGCCUGCACUGCUGGAAUCGCAAGAAACAAAACAGGGAGAGAUCCGGGCUCUUCUUAUCGAAAAGGCAUGCAGCUCCUGAGCCCUUACUUGGUCUCUGGCUCUUCUCCUUUAGGACUUGCAACCUCACUCCGUAGCGACCCGCCUCGUGCGAGCUUAUGAGCCGGGGGUGGAGGGGCGGUGGCCAGGGGAGGUUAGGGCUACACCAGCAAAAACCCAACCGUUUGGUGCUUCUGACCAGACUCCAGGAGAGAGACGACCGUCCCUCCAGGUAUAGAACCACGAGCUGCAGUAUCAGAUCCCAGCAGGAGGAGGACCAGACACAGCCUUGGCUUCAUCAGCAAGGAGAAUCUCAGAAGCAUCGCACCAGCCUUCCUGCUCUGCCUCAAGAGCGGAGGCCAUGGAACACCUAGGCCCACCCCAUGCUGCCCGGGGCUAACGGAGCCUCGAGAUCUAUGAGGCUUCGCUGUGCAGAAUGAAAGCUAUCCCAAGCUGUGGGCCAAGUCGGGACCUGAGUUUCCCCCAGGGGAAACUCAGUCUAUCCCAGGAAGGACCCGAACACCACGGAAAUGGAGCAAGGGCGGGCCCAUGGCUCAGCAGAGGUCGAUUGUUGGCAAUCCAACUCCCGAGCAUCCAGGCACCCCUCCGAGCAUCCUAGCUGGUCUUCACCCAGGAUUCAUGAGUCAAAGCAUUGGACGACCACUUUCUAGUGACUAAGGAAGGGCGUCUGAGGUCUCCCUGUGCUGAUGGAAGUUCUCCAGAAAGGCGAGACUGGAGAGGGAUUUCUGGGGGUACUUCUUAUUCUCCACUGGGGGCUUUUGAGGCUAAUGAGAGGUGGGUGCCAGGGUUUGCAGGGGGGGGGGGCUCAGAGCUGGAGGAUGAACAGCGCAGCCAAAUCCCUCAGCCCUCCAACAACCCCCACUCUGGACCAUUAGUCAUGGGCUUGCUCCACGUGUGGGGAAAUCAGGCUCUCUCAGAUCCAAAGGCUGCCGGCAGCCCAUGGGAAGGUUCAGAGAAGGCCCUUCCAGGACUGGGUGGCCCCAAGCUGAGGUCUCCUACUGGCUACGCGAUGGUUAGGCGCGGGGAGAAGGGCAGGUCUCAGGAAGUUUCCAAUCUUAUCUCAGGGUCUGGUUAGGAGACACCAGGGUAGAAGACCUGCACCUUUGUCCUUCAAAUGUCUCUGUCUGUGCAGUGGGCAUAAAAGAAGCAUAGAUCUUAUGGAGUUGCUGGGAGAGCCACAUAGAAGUGCUCAUGGCAUGGCCGGCUCACUGUAGGGCUCUAGACAUACUAUUUGAUGAAUAAUUGUAUGGGAGGGGAGCUGCUACUUAGACAUAGGAGGCUCUCUUCCUCCUUCUCUUCCUCCUCUAGAGCCAGAAGGAAAACAGACUUGUCUCCAAUUCAGUCCUGUCUGGUCUCUUCCUUCCCUCCAGGACAGGUGAAGUCCCUGGGCCAGCUGCUGUGGACUGGCCACAUGAGACAGGGCCAGUGUAGGGCACCCAGACAGACAGCCCAGCCUUCUCACUUUGUCAUGAACCGGAGGCUGAGGGCAGCUAGCACCGACAGUGAGAGCUUUGAGAGGCAAUAGAAUCAAGAUUUUUUUUUUUUUUGAAAGCCCUUUGGGAAGAAACCUGUUAGAGACUGUGAUGUGUGUAUUCUUGUGUUAUAUUUGCUUUUUACCAAGCACUUUCCUUAAGAAUCUCUCUACAUUUCUUGCCAAAUGGAUGGUUUCAACAGGCAGCCUGUCUUUAAGAAUGAAGGGCUCCCCAGUCCAGGACGGGAACCAGAACAAAGAGAGGGUGAAUGACCGUGUUUGGAGCCAUAAAAGCCUCAUUAGGAACUUAAGACUAACUCACAGAAUCGGACACAAAUUCACAAAAGCCAGGGAGUUCAUUGGUCUCCACCCUGAGGGUCCAUGGCUGGGGAAGGGGGGUGGGGUGGGUGUGAGCCAGGGCGGGUGCCUCUCUUAUUUGAUCUCUAUCUUAAAUCCACUUCAAAACGCUGCGGCUCAACCGAAUUGGAGGUUGGCCCCUUCCUGUAAUUAUUUGGUGUCUAGUAAAGUUUUUAUGAGUGUCUGUGCAAAUAAAUGCAUCUGAUGAUGUGCGUUCGUUUGA